rnacentral:rRNA from 1 species
GAUGAACGCUGGCGGCGUGCCUAAUACAUGCAAGUCGAGCGAACAGACGAGGAGCUUGCUCCUCUGACGUUAGCGGCGGACGGGUGAGUAACACGUGGAUAACCUACCUAUAAGACUGGGAUAACUUCGGGAAACCGGAGCUAAUACCGGAUAAUAUAUUGAACCGCAUGGUUCAAUAGUGAAAGACGGUUUUGCUGUCACAUAUAGAUGGAUCCGCGCCGCAUUAGCUAGUUGGUAAGGUAACGGCUUACCAAGGCAACGAUGCGUAGCCGACCUGAGAGGGUGAUCGGCCACACUGGAACUGAGACACGGUCCAGACUCCUACGGGAGGCAGCAGUAGGGAAUCUUCCGCAAGGGGCGAAAGCCUGACGGAGCAACGCCGCGUGAGUGAUGAAGGUCUUCGGAUCGUAAAACUCUGUUAUUAGGGAAGAACAAAUGUGUAAGUAACUAUGCACGUCUUGACGGUACCUAAUCAGAAAGCCACGGCUAACUACGUG